UGUGUGUGUGUGUAUAUACACCUGGCAGCAUGGCGAUCAUGUUGACGCGGCUCUGCUGGAAGGUGUGUGUGUGUGUGUGUGUGUGUACCUGGCAGCAUGGCGAUCAUGUUGACGCGGCUCUGCUGGAAGGUGUGUGUGUGUGUGUGUGUGUGUGUGUGUGUACCUGGCAGCAUGGCGA